CCUACGGGUGGCAGCAGUGGGGAAUAUUGGACAAUGGGGGGAACCCUGAUCCAGCCAUGCCGCGUGUGUGAAGAAGGCCCUCGGGUUGUAAAGCACUUUCAGUGAGGAAGAACGCCUGGUGGUUAAUACCCAUCAGGAAAGACAUCACUCACAGAAGAAGCACCGGCUAACUCCGUGCCAGCAGCCGCGGUAAUACGGAGGGUGCGAGCGUUAAUCGGAAUUACUGGGCGUAAAGCGCGCGUAGGUGGCUUGAUAAGCCGGUUGUGAAAGCCCCGGGCUCAACCUGGGAACGGCAUCCGGAACUGUCAAGCUAGAGUGCAGGAGAGGAAGGUAGAAUUCCCGGUGUAGAGGUGAAAUGCGUAGAGAUCGGGAGGAAUACCAGUGGCGAAGGCGGCCUUCUGGACUGACACUGACACUGAGGUGCGAAAGCGUGGGUAGCAAACAGGAUUAGAUACCCCGGUAGUC
rnacentral:rRNA from 1 species